rnacentral:rRNA from 1 species
UAGGGAAUAUUGGUUAAUGUGCGAAAGCGCGGACCAGCAACGCCGCGUGUGCGAUGAAGGCCUUCGGGUCGUAAAGCACUUUUUGCAGGGAAGAGGAAGGACGGUACCUGCAGAAUAAGUCUCGGCUAACUACGUGCCAGCAGCCGCGGUAAAACGUAGGAGACGAGCGUUAUCCGGAUUUACUGGGCGUAAAGCGCGUGCAGGCGGCAUGGCAAGUUGGAUGUGAAAGCUCCCGGCUUAACUGGGAGAGGUCGUUCAAUACUGCCAGGCUUGAGAGUGGUAGUGGGAAGCGGAAUUCCGGGUGUAGUGGUGAAAUGCGUAGAUAACCGGAGGGACACCAGUGGCGAAAGCGGCUUCCUGGCCCAUUUCUGACGCUCAGACGCGAAAGCUAGGGUAGCAAACGG